CUGAUGUCAUCCUUCCUCCUCCUUCUACCCUCCAAUUACCUUCAAGUUCAAAAGGUAUGGCAUCUGUACAUCAUCAGCUUCUUUGGGCGCACAUGUGUGGAGGGAUCCUGCAUGCAUGCUCAUAAAUCAUGCAGAGGAAGAGGAGAAGCUUGUAAUGAAGUGUCUGCGGCUCAUCCAACUCUCACAGGU